GAUUCUGGCUCAGGACGAACGCUGGCGGCGUGCUUAACACAUGCAAGUCGAGCGAUGAAGCUUCUUCGGAAGUGGAUUAGCGGCGGACGGGUGAGUAACACGUGGGUAACCUGCCUCAUAGAGGGAAUAGCCUUCCGAAAGGAAGAUUAAUACCGCAUAAGAUUGUAAUAUCGCAUGAUAUAGCAAUUAAAGGAGUAAUCCGCUAUGAGAUGGACCCGCGUCGCAUUAGCUAGUUGGUGAGGUAACGGCUCACCAAGGCGACGAUGCGUAGCCGACCUGAGAGGGUGAUCGGCCACAUUGGGACUGAGACACGGCCCAGACUCCUACGGGAGGCAGCAGUGGGGAAUAUUGCACAAUGGGGGAAACCCUGAUGCAAGCAACGCCGCGUGAGUGAUGACGGUCUUCGGAUUGUAAAGCUCUGUCUUCAGGGACGAUAAUGACGGUACCUGAGGAGGAAGCCACGGCUAACUACGUGCCAGCCGCGGC
rnacentral:rRNA from 1 species